CCUACGGGUGGCAGCAGUGGGGGAUAUUGCACAAUGGGGGAAACCCUGAUGCAGCGACGCCGCGUGGGCGAAGAAGUAUUUCGGUAUGUAAAGGCCUAUCAGCAGGGAAGAAGAAAUGACGGUACCUGAGUAAGAAGCACCGGCUAAAUACGUGCCAGCAGCCGCGGUAAUACGUAUGGUGCAAGCGUUAUCCGGAUUUACUGGGUGUAAAGGGAGCGCAGGCGGCACGGCAAGCCUGAUGUGAAAGCCCGGGGCCCAACCGCGGGACUGCAUUGGGAACUACCGGGCUGGAGUGCCGGAGAGGGAGGUGGAAUUCCUAGUGUAGCGGUGAAAUGCGUAGAUAUUAGGAGGAACACCAGUGGCGAAGGCGGCCUACUGGACGGUGACUGACGCUGAGGCGCGAAAGCGUGGGGAGCGAACGGGAUUAGAUACCCUUGUAGUC
rnacentral:rRNA from 1 species